GCCUCUGAUGAUGGUGGAUACCAUAAAAACGCCCGGGAACUACGAGCACAAGCUUAAAACCCAAAGGACUUGACGGUGUCCCACCCACCUAGAGGAGCCUGUUCUAUAAUCGAUGAUCCACGUUAUACCUCACCAUUUUUUGCCACUCCAGCCUGUAUACCUCCGUCGACAGCUCACCAUUUGAAUGUUAAUAAGUAAGCUCAAGGGUUUAUACACCAAUACGUCAGGUCAAGGUGCAGCCUACAAAAUGGGAAGCAAUGGGCUACAAUUUCUACCUUAGAACAAACGAAAAACUACAUGAAACCUAGACAUGAAGGCGGAUUUAGUAGUAAAAGAAAAUUAGUAAACUUCUUUUAACAAGGCCCUGGGACGUGUACAAACCGCCCGUCACCCUCUUCAAUAGCACUCCUAUCAGUAUUUCAACACCCACCAGCAUUAUAGAAGAGGCAAGUCGUAACAAGGUAAGUGUACUGGAAAGUGCACUUGGUUAAA
rnacentral:rRNA from 1 species